rnacentral:snRNA from 1 species
GUGCUCGCUUUGGCAGCACAUACACUAAAAUUGGAAUGAUAUAGAAAAGCUUAACAUGGCCCCUGCACAAAGAUGACAUGCAAAUUCAUGAAGUGUUCCACUUUUUC